CAAAGUUGAAAGAGUUGAAAUCUUUAGCCCCACCUUAUGCUUAAAAGAAAACUUAUCGUCCAGCUUGACAGACUUAAUCACCAAGAGAGACUGAUAAGUAAAGGCUUGGAAUAUAAACAUGGAAAAGACUACACAGUUCUACAGAAAUUCCUGAAAUAAGAAAGUGGUCAAGCACUGGAGCAAGUUUCACAGCAAGUCUGUGGGAUGUCAGUCUUUGGAGAUACUCAAAACCUUGACUGAGCGUGUUCCUGAACAACCUUGCUGUAGCUGACCCUGUUUGCGCAGGACAAUGGAGUAGGCCAUUUUCCAGCCCCAACCACACUGUGCUUCAGCCUUUUGGGGAUCCACUGAGACUAGUUCUCUGUGUUCUCCAGUUUUAGCACAGAGUAUAUUAAACACAGAGAUAUGAAGCUAAGAAAACACAGUAAAUGUUAUCUUCUGUAUUUAAAAUAGGUUCAAGAAAAGAAAUUCAAGAUCCAAGGACUGCUUGUGAAGAAUUCUGACAGACAUGAUAUUUGUUACUGAGAGCAAUUCAAAAAAGGAAGCUUCUGUGUUUUGAUGACAAACAAGGAAAUACGAACAGAAAACACUUUGACAGAAAAACAAAAAGAGAAACAACAAAAAACCAACAACUACUGGAAGUAACAUUUUAUGUGACAACAGAUCUGACUGAAAUAGAAGAAACAAAAUAAAAGAAAUUGAAUUUAUUAAGUGAUUAUACUCUACUUGAAAGAUCUUGAAGAAAUGUAGUAAAAAAGUACAAUAAAGUUUGAAAUUGAAGCCUAUAAUCAUAUUUUCACAAGUAUCUGUGUUGAAAAAAUAUAAAGUUUAUAGUAUCUAUAUUUAUUUAUUUGUUUAUUUAUUUUUGCUUUGGAAUGAAAACAGAAUUAAAAAUGUUUCCACUGUCCAAUGUCUAUUAUCUUUAUUUCAGCUAUGAAUUAAAAAUAUUUUAAAACAACAUAGAAUUAAUCUGGAU
ensembl:lncRNA